rnacentral:rRNA from 1 species
AACGGCCGCGGUAUCCUAACCGUGCAAAGGUAGCAUAAUCACUUGCCUAUUAAUUGUAGGCUAGAAUGAAUGGGUUAACGAAAUAAAGACUGUCUCAAUUAAUCACCUAAAAAUUACUAUCUAUCUGAAGAAGAGUAGAUAAUCUCGAAGGACAAGAAGACCCUAUAGAGCUUAAUUUUAAUUAUAGAGCUACACUAUAAAAAUAUUCGGUUGGGGCGACCCAGGGCUAAUCAAUCACCCAGUACAUAAAAGAUAAAUUAAUCAAGUAAUUGACCCCUAAAAGAUCAUAAGAACAAGCUACCUUAGGGAUAACAGGCUAAUCCCACUCAAGAGUCCUUAUCAACAGUGGGGUUUGGCACCUCGAUGUUGGCUUAGG